UGGGGAAUAUUGCACAAUGGGCGCAAGCCUGAUGCAGCCAUGCCGCGUGUGUGAAGAAGGCCUUCGGGUUGUAAAGCACUUUCAGCGGGGAGGAAGGCGGAGAGGUUAAUAACCUCAUCGAUUGACGUUACCCGCAGAAGAAGCACCGGCUAACUCCGUGCCAGCAGCCGCGGUAAUACGGAGGGUGCAAGCGUUAAUCGGAAUUACUGGGCGUAAAGCGCACGCAGGCGGUCUGUCAAGUCGGAUGUGAAAUCCCCGGGCUCAACCUGGGAACUGCAUUCGAAACUGGCAGGCUAGAGUCUUGUAGAGGGGGGUAGAAUUCCAGGUGUAGCGGUGAAAUGCGUAGAGAUCUGGAGGAAUACCGGUGGCGAAGGCGGCCCCCUGGACAAAGACUGACGCUCAGGUGCGAAAGCGUGGGGAGCAAACAGG
rnacentral:rRNA from 1 species